AGCUCCAAUAGCGUAUACUAAUGUUGUUGCAGUUAAAAAGCUCGUAGUCGGAUUUCAGCUUUGCUCAGUUUUUCCACUUUGGAUCUGCUGGGAAGGGCUUCUUUGACGGAAGUAUUCCUGACAUUCAUUUGUUGGGUUUUUCAACCGUCUCUUUUACUUUGAGAAAAUUAGAGUGUUCAAAGCAGGCAUUGCCUGAAUAUUACUCUUGGAAUAAUAAUAGAUGACUCUGGUGCUAGUUUGUUGGUGCACUGGUGCCGGAGUAAUGAUUAAUAGCGACGGUUGGGGUCAUUCGUACUGCAAAGCGAGAGGUGAAAUUCUUGGACCUUUGUAUGACGAACAACUGCGAAAGCAUUUGACUAGGACGUUCGCG
rnacentral:rRNA from 1 species